AGUUGCUAUAGUGAGCCGACUGAAUCCGUCUGCCACGCGGUGUUAGCCCUCCAAGGUGGACGAACCGAGUCCAGUAAGGCGUGAGGCGCGACCCCCCUCCCGGUCCCCGGAAGCGUGACGGUGGCAAUCUCCGUAGCGGCAUCUACAGUAUGCAUCAUGUCGAGUCCGACGAACGAUUGCGAACCCGUCAACGCUCUCGCGGGGACGCGGGGGGCGGCGUCGGCCGCCUCUCAUCGGCCUCUACGUGGGGCCCCCCCGGCUGUCCCCGUCCCAGCCUCUUUGCGGGACGGGCGCCGCCGAACAAGACCCGGGCGCGGUGGGCGCCAAGGAGCAGUGCUGGCGGAGAUCGUCGAGUGCGGCAUCCCUCAGGCGGGGGCGGCGCUCGACGCGAUCCAGCUGUAUACCGUAAACUUUUACGACUCUCGGCAACGGAUAUCUUGGCUCUCGCAUCGAUGAAGAACGUAGCGAAAUGCGAUACUUGGUGUGAAUUGCAGAAUCCCGUGAACCAUCGAGUCUUUGAACGCAAGUUGCGCCCGAGGCUAUCCGGCCGAGGGCACGCCUGCCUGGGCGUCACGCCUCGCGUCGCUCCGCGCUACCCCCCUCUCCCCCACUCGGGCGGCGGCGGUCGCGGAUGCGGAGAUUGGCCCCCCCUGCCUCGCGGCGCGGCGGGUCGAAGUGUGAGCCGCCGGUCGGGUCGGACGCGGCGAGUGGUGGACGGAAACGCACGGCGCUGAACGCCGCGGACCCACGGCCCCAGCGGCGCCAGCCAGGAACCCGCGCCGACGGGCGCCAGCGAGCGCCCUCGGACCACGACCCCAGUCAGACGUUACAU
rnacentral:rRNA from 1 species